rnacentral:rRNA from 1 species
UACGGAGGGGGCUAGCGUUGUUCGGAAUUACUGGGCGUAAAGCGCACGUAGGCGGAUCAGUUAGUCGGGGGUGAAAUCCCGGGGCUCAACCCCGGAACUGCCUUCGAUACUGCUGGUCUGGAGUCCGAGAGAGGUGAGUGGAAUUCCGAGUGUAGAGGUGAAAUUCGUAGAUAUUCGGAGGAACACCAGUGGCGAAGGCGGCUCACUGGCCCGGUACUGACGCUGAGGUGCGAAAGCGUGGGGAGCAAACAGGG